UUGUUGGAGAGUUUGAUCCUGGCUCAGGACGAACGCUGGCGGCGUGCUUAACACAUGCAAGUCGAGCGGUAAGGCCCUUUCGGGGGUACACGAGCGGCGAACGGGUGAGUAACACGUGGGUGACCUGCCCUCCACUCUGGGAUAAGCCCGGGAAACUGGGUCUAAUACCGGAUAGGACCACUGAUCGCAUGGUUGGUGGUGGAAAGUUUUUUCGGUGGGGGAUGGGCCCGCGGCCUAUCAGCUUGUUGGUGGGGUGAUGGCCUACCAAGGCGGUGACGGGUAGCCGGCCUGAGAGGGCGACCGGCCACACUGGGACUGAGACACGGCCCAGACUCCUACGGGAGGCAGCAGUGGGGAAUAUUGCGCAAUGGGCGGAAGCCUGACGCAGCGACGCCGCGUGGGGGAUGACGGCCUUCGGGUUGUAAACCUCUUUCGCCAGGGACGAAGAGCAAUUGACGGUACCUGGAGAAGAAGCACCGGCCAACUACGUGCCAGCAGCCGCGGUAACACGUAGGGUGCGAGCGUUGUCCGGAAUUAUUGGGCGUAAAGAGCUCGUAGGCGGUGUGUCGCGUCGGCCGUGAAAACUUGGGGCUUAACUCUGAGCGUGCGGUCGAUACGGGCA
rnacentral:rRNA from 1 species